AUGGAGCAUGAUCCACACAGCAGAUAGCUCGUUUCCCCCUCGGUUCUCAUGGUCUACGAUGGAUCGGAGAGCAUUUCCUUGCGUUUCACUGGGCAUAUGGUGCAAUCGGAUGGUAGGGGUUGAUUCUAGGUUUGAUCGAAUGGCUGCGGAAGCUGGGAGGCACGAUCUGAAGCACGAUUGUGCGAUCGGAUGCAUAGCAAUGGUUGCGGCAU
rnacentral:lncRNA from 1 species